rnacentral:tRNA from 1 species
GGUGUAGCGUAGUUGGUUAACGCGUCGGAUUGUGGUCCCGAAGAUCGUGGGUUCGAGUCCCAUCUC